UAUGCAAAUACAUAUUUGUACUUUGAAAAAUUGCAUUCUCUGUAUUUGUAACUAGUUAAAGUGUGUACUAGUAUUACCCAUUAUCAAUGACAAACCAGUUCUUACCAACCACUAAUCCACUGGUCCCUUAACCAAGACCCUCCCUAUGUGUGCUUCUUUAGUGGAGCAGAAAGGUAAGGUAUGGCAUUUUUUGCUGGGCUGGGCAAAAAUGUUGUGCCUUUACCAUUUUGCUGAGGUAACAGCAAUGUUGUGCCUUUACCAUUUUGCAGACACUGGUAAUUGUU